GAUGAACGCUGGCUACAGGCUUAACACAUGCAAGUCGAGGGGAAACGACGGGGAAGCUUGCUUCCCCGGGCGUCGACCGGCGCACGGGUGAGUAACGCGUAUCCAACCUGCCUCUGACUGAGGGAUAACCCGUCGAAAGUCGGCCUAAUACCUCAUGGUAUCGUCUGCGGGCAUCCAACGACGAUUAAAGAUUUCAUCGGUCAGGGAUGGGGAUGCGUCUGAUUAGCUUGUUGGCGGGGUAACGGCCCACCAAGGCUACGAUCAGUAGGGGUUCUGAGAGGAAGGUCCCCCACAUUGGAACUGAGACACGGUCCAAACUCCUACGGGAGGCAGCAGUGAGGAAUAUUGGCCAAUGGGCGAGAGCCUGAACCAGCCAAGUAGCGUGCAGGAAGACGGCCCUAUGGGUUGUAAACUGCUUUUAUGCGGGGAUAAAGUGAGGGACGUGUCCCUCAUUGCAGGUACCGCAUGAAUAAGGACCGGCUAAUUCCGUG
rnacentral:rRNA from 1 species